UACGGAGGGUGCAAGCGUUAUCCGGAUUUACUGGGUUUAAAGGGUGCGUAGGUGGGUCUGUAAGUCAGUGGUGAAAUCUCCGAGCUUAACUCGGAAACUGCCAUUGAUACUAUAGGUCUUGAAUUAUCUGGAGGUAAGCGGAAUAUGUCAUGUAGCGGUGAAAUGCUUAGAUAUGACAUAGAACACCAAUUGCGAAGGCAGCUUACUACGGAUAUAUUGACACUGAGGCACGAAAGCGUGGGGAUCAAACAGGA
rnacentral:rRNA from 1 species